AUUGAACGCUGGCGGCAUGCUUUACACAUGCAAGUCGAACGGCAGCAUGGGUGCUUGCACCUGAUGGCGAGUGGCGAACGGGUGAGUAAUAUAUCGGAACGUACCAAGUAAUGGGGGAUAACUACUCGAAAGAGUGGCUAAUACCGCAUACGCCCUAAGGGGGAAAGCAGGGGAUCUUCGGACCUUGCGUUAUUUGAGCGGCCGAUGUCUGAUUAGCUAGUUGGUGGGGUAAGAGCCUACCAAGGCGACGAUCAGUAGCGGGUCUGAGAGGAUGAUCCGCCACACUGGGACUGAGACACGGCCCAGACUCCUACGGGAGGCAGCAGUGGGGAAUUUUGGACAAUGGGCGAAAGCCUGAUCCAGCCAUGCCGCGUGUAUGAAGAAGGCCUCGG
rnacentral:rRNA from 1 species